UAGGGAAUCUUCCACAAUGGGCGAAAGUCUGAUGGAGCAACGCCGCGUGUGUGAUGAAGGGUUUCGGCUCGUAAAACACUGUUGUAAGAGAAGAAUGACAUUGAGAGUAACUGUUCAAUGUGUGACGGUAUCUUACCAGAAAGGAACGGCUAAAUACGUGCCAG
rnacentral:rRNA from 1 species